rnacentral:rRNA from 1 species
CUUUCUUUGCUGGCGACCGGCGCACGGGUGAGUAACACGUAUCCAACCUGCCCUUUACUCGGGGAUAGCCUUUCGAAAGAAAGAUUAAUACCCGAUAGCAUAAUGAUUCCGCAUGGUUUCAUUAUUAAAGGAUUCCGGUAAAGGAUGGGGAUGCGUUCCAUUAGGUUGUUGGUGAGGUAACGGCUCACCAAGCCUUCGAAGGAUAGGGGUUCUGAGAGGAAGGUCCCCCACAUUGGAACUGAGACACGGUCCAA